rnacentral:rRNA from 1 species
CCCUUAGAUGUUCUGGGCCGCACGCGCGCUACACUGACGAAUGCAACGAGCUUAUAACCUUGGCCGAAAGGUCUGGGUAAUCUCCAAAUUUCGUCGUGAUGGGGAUAGAUUAUUGCAAUUAUUAAUCUUCAACGAGGAAUGCCUAGUAAGCGCAAGUCAUCAGCUUGCGUUGAUUACGUCCCUGCCCUUUGUACACACCGCCCGUCGCUCCUACCGAUUGGAUGGUCCGGUGAAGCGUUCGGACCGUGGCCUUUGGACGGUUCGCCGUCUGUUGGCUGCGGGAAGUUCGUUAAACCUUAUCAUUUAGAGGAAGGAGAAGUCGUANCA